GAUAGUCAUGCAGUAGCCAUGGUUUUCAACUUGAAUAUUUAUUAAAUGAUUGCUUGUUUAAAACAUGGUUAUCGUUGUUUCGGUAAUGCUUCUUGUUUAGUGCUUACUUGUUUGCUAUGUUGUUAUGCACCUGGUUAUCAUGCCCUGCUAGUUGCUAGUAUUGCUUUCAUAUUGCCAUGCUUGAUAGUAGUACAUGUUGGGUUGGUCAUGUUCUUCGGUGCAUGAUUAACGUCGGUUAUCGAGUACCAUUAAUAUGCGUUGUUCCUUUGUUGUUAGUUGGUUAAGUCUUACUCGGUGAUGUUAUUGAUGAUUUCUUGCAUGUUAUUUAUGUUUGAUGAUAAUGCACUACAAGAAACCUGUUAAUCUAUGAUGGAUUUCUGGUGACAUUUUCAAAAACCGUCAUGGAUGUCAUGGUACAGCCCCGCAAGCCCGCCAAAGCCCGCUAAGCCCGCCUAACCUUUACCCAUAUAAAGCGCUAACCCUAACCCUCAUCCUCUCUCCCUCCUCCGCGGCCCCCUCCCGAUUCCUCAUCGCUGCCACCCACCACCUCCUCGCCCCCUCCUCCCACCGCACGCCACCGUCCCUCUCCCCCUCCUCUCCUCUCACCUAGCGUCUCCGGCAGCUACCAGAUUGGCCGCAUCCCCCAUCCAUCCAUCCCUGUCACAAACAAUCUCUCUCUCUCUCUCUCUCCCGUAUGACCCAUCACGGCAGGGUCAACAGCCAUCGAUUCCGGCGAUGUUCACCAUCUCACAGCACACACACAAGCUGGUCUCCGACCCUAGCCCUCCAGGCCGGCUAGAUCCACCUCGCCCGCCACCCCGAGUCUGUGGCUAGGGUUUCGGCUAUGGUGUUGCCUCCAUCAUCGGCGCGUCUCCGACGACUCCGCUGUGUUCCAGACCGCGCGCCCUCAUGUUCUCCCCACCUCCUGGAUGGCAACCCCUAGCUGGGUUCGCUCACGCGCGUGAGGCUGCACGGCUGCGACCCCGACCUCCUCUGCCGCAGCUCCGACGCGGCCGUGCAUCCUAUGGCAACCUCCUCUGCAGCAUUUGGACCACUGCAGGCCCUCCCUUGCCCAGGUCCUGGUUCUUGCAAGCAUAGAACAUCUAUUUGCCGUGUGCAGUAAUAGUUUUGGUGUCAAGCUAGCUACAUGUGUGGAUGCUCUAAUUUUCUCCCAAUGAUUUAGUGUAAUGCGUAUUUCAGAUGCAGAAACUAUGUUGUGUUCUGAUGGCCAUGCUACUAUUUGUUGUUAUGGUUUCCCCUGAUUUCAGAAAUAUCUAAUGUCCUUUGUGUACUUUGUAGUAUCUAUAUAAUAAUUAGAGAUACAUGAUAACUCAGUUCAGUUUAAGCGUAUGAUUUUCAUAUCUUGUUUGACUGGGUUACAUAUUUACAGAUAUAACUGUUGGGACAUUGCGUA